GAGAGGUGCUCCAGGAGUAAGAGGUGGUCAAGGGGAGACGGGUGAGCACAGGGUCAUGAAGGUCAGGCUGGAGACGUGGGUUCACAGGGUCUGAGUGGAGUGUCUGGGCUCAAAGGGUACAGAGGAGAGCCAGGUUCUCACGGACCUGCGGGUCUCCCCCCCAGGGUGUUAAGGGCCCCAGGGGGCCUCCAGGAGCCCCAGGAGAUGCAGGGCCCAUUGGGAAAAGGGGUGAUGAUGGAACACAGGGAGAAGGCCAACCUGGAUAUCCAGGGUUCCAGGUCAGAGAACAAAAGGACAGAGAACACCUUAUCUUCUCACCAGAUGGCCUAGGAAUGCGAUAAUAGGACAACAUCCCCACCUCCGGCCAUAGAUCAACAGAUACUCCUCAACGAGUUCCCUGGACACACACAGACAUUUCACUGCACGCACACUCAUUCUCAACUCCCCUGUCUACUGGUCGGGUGCCA